rnacentral:tRNA from 1 species
GCCCCAGUAGCCCAAUUGGCAGAGGCAGCGGACUUAAAAUCCGCGCAGUCAGGGUUCGAGUCCCUGCUGGGGCACAA